UCCCGUUUGCACGGGCAGUAUCGCGUGUACAUUUAACACACAAUGAGGGUUGCGCUCGUUACCCGACUUAACGGUACACCUCACGGCACGAGCUGACGGCAACCAUGCAGCACCUGUGUAGCACCUUCGAAAGCGGCUCCGGUUUCUCGGAGCUUGCAGCUACAUGUCAAGCCUUGGUAAGGUUUUCGCGUACCAUCGAAUUAAACCGCAUGAUCCUCCACUUGUGCGGGUCCCCGUCUAUUUCUUUGAGUUUUAACCUUGCGGCCGUACUCCCCAGGCGGUGCAUUUAACGCGUUAGCUUUUUUAAACGGCACUGAGAGGGUCGAUACUCCCAAUACCUAAUGCACAUCGUUUAGGGCGUGGACUA
rnacentral:misc_RNA from 1 species